AUGCACGCUGGCGGCGUGCCUCAUCCAUGCAAGUCGCGCGAACAGACGAGGAGCUUGCUCCUCUGACGUUAGCGGCGGACGGGUGAGUAACACGUGGAUAACCUACCUAUAAGACUGGGAUAACUUCGGGAAACCGGAGCUAAUACCGGAUAAUAUAUUGAACCGCAUGGUUCAAUAGUGAAAGACGGUUUUGCUGUCACUUAUAGAUGGAUCCGCGCCGCAUUAGCUAGUUGGUAAGGUAACGGCUUACCAAGGCAACGAUGCGUAGCCGACCUGAGAGGGUGAUCGGCCACACUGGAACUGAGACACGGUCCAGACUCCUACGGGAGGCAGCAGUAGGGAAUCUUCCGCAAUGGGCGAAAGCUUGACGGAGCAACGCCGCGUGAGUGAUGAAGGUCUUCGGAUCGUAAAACUCUGUUAUUAGGGAAGAACAAAUGUGUAAGUAACUAUGCACGUCUUGACGGUACCUAAUCAGAAAGCCACGGCUAACUACGUG
rnacentral:rRNA from 1 species